rnacentral:rRNA from 1 species
UACGGAGGUGGCAAGCGUUGUUCGGAAUUACUGGGCGUAAAGGGCGCGUAGGCGGCAAGGCAAGUCAGGUGUGAAAGCCCCGAGCUUAACUCGGGAAUUGCAUCUGAAACUGCUGUGCUUGAGUUCUGGAGGGGGUAGUGGAAUUCCCAGUGUAGCGGUGAAAUGCGUAGAUAUCGGGAGGAACACCAGUGGCGAAGGCGACUACCUGGCCUGUUCUUGACGCUGAGGCGCGAAAGCUAGGGGAGCAAACGGG